rnacentral:rRNA from 1 species
AAAUCGGGCGGUAAAUUCCUCCAAGGCUAAAUAUUGGCGAGAGACCGAUAGCAAACAAGUACCGCGAGGGAAAGAUGAAAAGGACUUUGAGAAAAGAGUCAAAGAGUACUUGAAAUUGUCGGGAGGGAAGCGGAUGGGGGCCGGCGGUGCGCCUUGGUCGGAUGUGGAACGGUGUUAGCCGGUCUGCCAAUCGACUCAGGGCGCGGACCGACGCGGAUUGCGGCGGCGGCCCAAGCCUGAGCCUUUGUUGUGCUUGCGGAGACGUCGUCGGCGCGAUCGUGGCUGGCAGCGCGCGCCAGUAGGCGUGCUUCGGCAUCGGCGCGCUCCGGGCGUCGGCCUGCGGGUUCCCCAUUCGGCCCGUCUUGAAACACGGACCAAGGAGUCUGACAUGUGUGCGAGUCAACGGGCCAGUAAACCCGUGAGGCGCAAGGAAGCUGACUGGCGGGAUCCCCUAGCGGGUUGCACCGCCGACCGACCUUGAUCUUCUGAGAAGGGUUCGAGUGAGAGCAUGCCUGUCGGGACCCGAAAGAUGGUGAACUAUGCCUGA